AUUGAACGCUGGCGGCAGGCCUAACACAUGCAAGUCGAACGGUAACAGGAAACAGCUUGCUGUUUCGCUGACGAGUGGCGGACGGGUGAGUAAUGUCUGGGAAACUGCCUGAUGGAGGGGGAUAACUACUGGAAACGGUAGCUAAUACCGCAUAACGUCGCAAGGCCAAAGAGGGGGACCUUCGGGCCUCUCGCCAUCGGCUGUGCCCAGAUGGGAUUAGCUAGUAGGUGGGGUAACGGCUCACCGAGGCGACGAUCCCUAGCUGGUCUGAGGGGAUGACCAGGCACACUGGAACUGAGACACGGUCCAGGCUCCUACGGGAGGCAGCAGUGGGGAAUAUUGCACAAUGGGCGCAAGCCUGAUGCAGCCAUGCCGCGUGUAUGAAGAAGGCCUUCGGGUUGUAAAGUACUUUCAGCGGGGAGGAAGGGAGUAAAGUUAAUACCUUUGCUCAUUGACGUUACCCGCAGAAGAAGCACCGGCUAACUCCGUGCCAGCCGCCGCCGUAA
rnacentral:rRNA from 1 species